AUUGAACGCUGGCGGCAGGCCUAACACAUGCAAGUCGAGCGGAGCGGCGGACGGGUGAGUAAUGCCUAGGAAUCUUCCUGGUAGUGGGGGAUAACGUCCGGAAACGGGCCCUAAUACCGCAUACUAUCAGAUGAGCCUACGUCGGAUUAGCUAGUUGGUGGGGUAAAGGCCUACCAUGCCGCCGAUCCGUAACUGGUCUGAGAGGAUGAUCAUUCACACUGGAACGGAGACACGGUCCAGACUCCUACGGGAGGCAGCAGUGGGGAAUAUUGGACAAUGGGCGAAAGCCCUAUCCAGCCAUGCCGCGUGUGUGAAGAAGGUCUUCGGAUUGUAAAGCACUUUAAGUUGGGAGGCGUUACCAACAGAAUAAGCACCGGCUAAGAAAGGGCCAGCAGCCGCGGUAAUUC
rnacentral:rRNA from 1 species